UACGUAGGGGGCAAGCGUUGUCCGGAAUUAUUGGGCGUAAAGAGCGCGUAGGCGGUCCGAUAAGUCGGCUGUGAAAGUCAGGGGCUCAACCCUUGAAAGCCGGCCGAUACUGUCGGACUAGAGUCCGGAAGAGGCAAGUGGAAUUCCCGGUGUAGCGGUGAAAUGCGCAGAUAUCGGGAGGAACACCGGUGGCGAAGGCGGGUCUCUGGGCCUUACCUGACGCUCAGGCGCGAAAGCUAGGGGAGCGAACUGG
rnacentral:rRNA from 1 species